rnacentral:misc_RNA from 1 species
GGAUUAGUUAAUUUUCUAUUAUGAGUUAUGACCUUGUUUUAUUAGUUUUCAAUAGUUUAAUGGAUACAUAUUUGUGUAUCAUAUAAAUUUGGAUAUAACAUUUUGUAAAAGGAUUUGAAAGUUUGAGUUGUAAUAAUUUUAGAUAUUAUUUAAUAUAUUUGAUUGAUUAUAUAUACAAUUUUAAAUUAGUAAGAAAAAAAAGAAGUUCAAGGAAAUAGAAAAAAGAAAUAGCAUCAGAUAAGAUAAAC